rnacentral:lncRNA from 1 species
AGAUGUCAUGGACGAGGAAUUCAUGGAAGAAAUGUACCCCGAUAUGGAGAACAGAAUCACCAGUAGAAGAGGAAUUUUCCAUAGCAGAUCACAGUACGAUGCCCCCUCCUCUUCUGCAUCAUCAUCUUCUUCUUCUACGUUCACACUGUCGGGGGUUUCCAACUCUGAUUCCUCUCUCUGUUUCAGAGGAGUAGGAGGAGGAUCCGAAGGCGUCGCCUCGUUUCUUUCACCCUCGAUCUCUGCCAGCAGACUCGAAUCGACGCUGGAACUGCCUGCCGCUCCAUCCAACUCCCUC